rfam:Triticum aestivum genome assembly, contig: Triticum_aestivum_CS42_TGACv1_scaffold_526515_6DL
ACUGAAUUCCCUCCAUCCGGAAAUACUUGUCGGAGAAAUGGAUGUAUCUAGACGAUAUUUUAGUUCUAGAUACAUCCAUUUUUAUCUAUUUCUCCGACAAGUGUUUCCGGACGGAGGGAGUAUGUA